ACAGCAGAUCAUAGCUAAACUCCUCACAUGUUGUCUGUGGGAAAGGAGCAUCUUCCUUUGUCUAGUCUCAUCUUCUAAAUGCCCCAUCACCAAUCACAAAACUGGAUUCACUCAGUAUGUGUCCCCUAGAAUGCUUUUCAGGACAGAAUGAAGUUGAGAGGGUGUGAUGCACAGAUUUUACCGAUUCAUAAACCUGGAAGGAAACUUUUCACUUUACAGACACAUAAUCCAAGAUUCUGAGAGACAAGGUGGCUUGUAGAUGGUCACCCAGUGAGCUGGCAGCAGGACUAGGACAAAGACUCUUUCAAUUGCUCCCACAGUGUUUCUCCUUUCUCAGGUGUGGUGAUGUAACUGACUCAGACAAGAAGAAAUGAUCUUAAGAAGUUCACCACCAGGAGGAUGGUAGUACAAGUCAGGUUUGAAGUUCCUGAAAUGACUCAUCCCAGGAUUGGUGGGAAGCUCAAAGGAGGUGGCUCAAAGGAGGUGGCGCAUAGGAAGAAAGCCCCUUGUCAACUAUUAAGUACCCUCCACACCUGAAGAGCCAGCUUAGGCCUGAGGGGCCUGGUGCCUGCCUUUGUACAGGAAUGCCGGUGUCCCGAAGGCCAGCGUCACUGGGUGGAGGAGGCCCUCGUUAUCCGGACGGGAUGCCUGCUAAUGAGAACCGCAAGCAGCCACGAAGAGGAUUUCCACUGUACGGCCUUCUUCUGACUCCAAUUUGUGCAGCCUACGCUGCUCUGCUUCGGGGAGCCCAGGCUCCAGAGGCCCUUAAUAGCCAAAGUCACCCAGCGAAACUCUGCCCACCUCCAGCCAGCGUGGCUGACUGCCCCAGAGAACAUAAAUGACGAUAAUCCCUUCGCAAAUGAGGAGAGACACUUCUCAUUAACAACUUGGGGCGGACGACCCAGGGCUGAGCAGAAAAGCAGGAUGCAGACAGGGCGGCCUUGCGGCUGCUGCUGCUCUCACCACUUCCUGGCCCCGUCACGGGGCGGCCUCGCGGAAGCUGUCUCCAGGGGCGCUUGCAGGAGGAGUAGAGGCAAAUCCUUACAGAGCUUUCUGAUACCAACUCCACCACGUGUGUUUUCUCGACUGUAGACCUGAGGCUACAUUACAAACCUCCACUUAAAUGUAGGCUCGGAGGAGAAGCCAUCUCUGAAUGCAUUCAUUUCCUCUUUUCCUUUCUCAAAAGAAAACCAAAAACCAAAACGCCACUUGUAUUUAUUCAUUAUUCCAACCAUUAUUACUCUUCUAGGGUAGAGAUUGGUUCUCAAAGCUUAGUGUACAUCAAAAUCACCUGAAAACACUAUAAACAACAGGGCCCCUACCUCCACUGCACCCUGCAAACCUAUGGACAUCAGGGGAUCUGAAUUUUAAGCAGUUUCCCAGGUGAUUCUGAUGUAGAUGGUUCUUAGACCACACUUUGAAAUACACUAUUCUGAACACAGAAACUAUUUCAGGGGGUGUUAAAACUGUAAGAGACUUCAAGGAUAGCUAGAACAACCUCUUGCUCUACAAAUGAGACAGCAUCAUGUCACAGAUAAAAGCACAGACUCUACCAAACUGCCAGGUUAAAUUCCUGGCUUGGCCUCUUACACGCAGUUAUGAUUUGGAGCAAGUUACUUUAAUUCUCUGAGCUUCAAUUUUCUCAUCUAUAAAAUGGAGAUAAUAUAAAAUGGGGAUAAUUACAUACCUCACAAGAGAUUCUGGAGGAUUAAAAAAUUAAUAUAGGCAAAAUAUUGAGAAAGUGCCUGGCACAUAGUAAACAUUCAAAGGAUAUUAUUUACAUCAUUCACAAUUCAGAGAAACAGAACCACUUCAAGCGGUAUAGAAUGAGGAAUACAUUACGAAGAUUAGGCCACACGCAAUUGUGGGAGCUGAUUAUGUUGGCUAUUUAAAGCUGUAGUUUCUGAAUCUGGUGCUGGGUCUGAAGUCAGCAGGACUAGAAAUGUAGAAGGAAAGAUAGACAUAAAGUAGAGAUACCAAGAACAGACUAGAACCUGUUAAGAAUUAGCUGGAACAUCAUCUGUCUCUCAUCCCCUUCAAUCCCUAUGAUGCUGUUGACCUACACGAUGAGCUGGCACCCGGCAUCACAGAGUAACACCUGUGUUUGGCCCAGGACUCAGGGAAGCUGAAGGCAGGGAUCCGGCAGAAGCUGGAGCGGAUGAAGGCCUGACUGUAUCCCAUACCAAUCAAGUAAGCGGGCAGACCAGUGACAAUGUGCAUGAGUUCCAACAGUGCCUGCCUUAUUGACCUUCAGAGUGGAAAAAUUUAAAAAGCCCUCCUUUAUGUCCCCCUUCCAAAACUCUCAUGACCCUAACUUGAAACACUAACUUGUGGUCAACUCCAACUUGGAAUCAUAUAGAGAGGGGAAUUCCAACUGUAACUCGGAAUUCUAACCCUAACUUGGAACCAUAUAGAGAUGAGAAUUCUAUGAUUUGUAGUUUCAACUUAGAGAAACUGAUACAACACAAAUCACAUUAUCAAUUUAUCUUACUACUCAUCAGAAAACGGAAGACAGAGAAAGAAAGUAACUUAAGGUCACACAGAAAAUCUGUAGGAGAAGACUGACAAGGGCCUGGGCCUAUUCUUUUCUACUUCUGUCCUUCAGGCCUCCUGGUUACUGCAAAGAUCUUAAGAGCGUGUCCAUCUGCAUGUCCUUUGGACCUUCAGACAGAAGGCUCACGGGGGUAAUGGAUCCAAUUCAAUAAUAUGUUUACUGAGGGCCUGCUAGGUGCCUGGUACUCUGUCCCUAGGUAGGGAGGAGUCCUUACCCUCAGACUGCUCACAGAGAAGACAACUGCAUCAGUAAAGACAACAGAAGUCUGAAGAGACACAUGCUUCAGGAGAGAAACAAUGGUAGUGUUUUGGGAUGGAGCUUGAUGAAAAAUGGGAUCUCAAGAUAACAUCAGAGAUUUUUGCUUAAUAUCCAAAGUUCAAAGUCUAGCUCCUACUUCUCCACUCUCUUAUCCCUCAAUACUCUGCCCUGGUGAAGCAGGACAUAUGGUUUGUUGGAACUGAGGGGCUUCCAGUAUGCAGUGCUAAAACUAGAAAGUCUCUAGCAAACUGGGAUGAGCUGGUCACCUUAAGGCCCAACAAAAGAGUGACUUACCCAAGGGAAACAACAAGUAAGUAGCAAAACCAGCUUUGGAAUCAAGUAUAGUACAAUCUUCUCUUCGCUAUUAUGACCCUGUAACUCUAAGCUCAACAAGCCCAAGAACCUCUCAUAAGCAAUUAGCAAGCCAGUAAAAGGAAUCAAGACUUUCCAGCUACCCUCAACUUUCCUCAGAACUUCCUGAACUUCUAUUCCCGCUUGGAUUCUGAAAUCUUUUUAACUCUUGUCUGUUUUCCCCCAGUGUAUUAAAGCCCAUUGGACUUGG